CAUGAGUACACCACAGCGAACAAAAAUGCUGGUUUGUAAAACAUUGGAAGAGGCUUUAAGGAAAAUCCAGGAGCUGGAAAUGCAAGAUAAUUUGUGCCUGACUCUAGUACGAAGAAUUUUGGGAAGACGAUUUGGCCUAAAAAGACCUGUAGCAGUUAACAAGCUAUUAGAUGCACAAUAGCACAAAAUGACCACCACCACUAUCACCCUAAAGUGUGUGCUUGGUGUCUGUCUACACGUGCUUGCUUCUGGAAUGUUGAAGAACAAACUGUGUUGAAACGCCAACUGGAGUUGAUCAUGGACCUUUGCCGCCCUUCAUCCAGAGCCUUCCACAGAGAUGGCAGAUAUAUCGCUGCCUGGACCAACAGUUGAGUCCAUGAUAUCAGUAGCAGCCAUGAAAACAUCUACAGAAUUACAUCUGCCUAUUAAUGGAUACAUUCUGCACCACUUCCAUGUGCUGUCAGUUUGAAACGUCUCUACUCUGACAGAAGGAAGGGAAUGAAUCCCCAGGAUUGUUCCUCAGGAAAAUCUCUUCAACAGGCUGUUGUCAGUUUGCAUGCUCUUUGGAUGGAAUUACCCUACCUCGGCUUGCAGAGAAUCUGUGAUAUAAAAGACCUCUUUUGUGCUGCAUUGUGUCAUUGAUUUAUUGACCUUAAAGAUAUUUUAUAUGUAUCAUGCCACUAUUGUAAAAACAAAUGGGCAUAUGUUUUAGCAUAUGUUUUCAAACAGACACAUUUAUAUUUCAAACAGACACAUUUAUAUUUUUGAAUAACUUGAAAAUACAUUUUGUAGGUUGACUUCACACCAUGAAACAUUUAUGGUAGGUUAUAUUUGACCAGAACAUGACAAGUAUUGUUUUUGGUCGAAGGUGAAGGUAAUGGCAAACAGUGGUUAUUCUGCACAAUGACCCUUGAAUUCUUUGACCUAGGACCAUUAAUAUUUAGUGAUUGAUAAUCAGUCCAACUCAUAUGUGAAAGGGACAUGAUGAAAUUGAGCAAGAGCUUAUUAGCAUUGCAAAUUAUUAUUUGUGCAUUUUUAGCUCGACUAUUCGAAGAAUAGGUGGGCUAUACUAUCGUUAACAAUUCUGCGUUAAAGUUUUCAUUUUAUGUAAUAAAAUCAAGAGUUUUUAUCCAAUGGUAAUCAAACUUGGUCAGACUAUUUGUUGGCAUGUUAUCUUGAAGAUAUAUGAAUAUGGGUCAUCCCUGGUCAAAUUCUAGGUCACUAGGUCACAUCUUAGAGAAAAUAUUUACAUGUCCUAAAUUCAACAUUUUUUUCAUAUCUUUAUGAAACUUGGUCAGAAUAUUUGUCUGCAUACUAUCUUGAAAGUUUUUUAAUAUGGGCCAUCUCGGUUCACAUUCUAGGUCACUAGGUCAAAUCUUAGGAAAAUCAUUCCACAUCAUAAAUUGAACAAUUUUUAUACGCCCAUCUUACGAUGGCCGUAUUAUGGGAACACCCAUGGCGGGCGGGCGGUCGGCGCCACAAUGUUGUCCGCUCUCUUACUUGAACAUUUCUCAUCCAAUUUCCACCAAACUUCAUGGAAGUGUUUGUUGGUGAAAUAUCUAGGUCAAGUUCGAUAACCAGCCAAAUCGCUCUAGGCACUCCAGAGUUAUGGCCCCCUGAAUUUGUCAAAAUUGGGCGGCUCCACAAUGUUGUCCGCUCUCUAACUUGAACAUUUCUCAUCCAAUUUCCACCAAACUUCAUGAAAGUGUUUGUUGGUGAAAUAUCUAGGUCAAGUUCGAUAACCAGCCAAAUCGCUUUAGGCACUCAAGAGUUAUGGCCCCCUGAAUUUGUCAAAAUUGGCCAUUUUAGCUUUGUCCGCUCUCUAACUUGAUCAUUUCUCAUCCAAUUUCCACCAAACGUCAUGAAAGUGUUUGUUGGUGAAAUAUCUCGGUCAAGUUCAAUAACCAGCCAAAUCGCUUUAGGCACUCCAGAGUUAUGGCCCCCUGAAUUUGUCAAAAUUGUCCAUUUUAGCUCUGUCCGCUCUCUAACUUGAACAUUUCUCAUCCAAUUUCCACCAAACUUCAUGAAAGUGUUUGUUGGUGAAAUAUCUAGGUCAAGUUCGAUAACCAGCCUAAUCGCUUUAGGCACUCCAGAGUUAUGGCCCCCUGAAUUUAUCAAAAUUGGCCAUUUUAGCUUUGUCUACUCUCAAACUUGAACAGUUUUUAUCCGAAUUUCACCAAACUUGCUACUAUAAAUGUUUGUUGGUAUAUAUUCUUGGCAAAGUUCUAUAACCAGCCAGGCUCUUCAGGAUUAUGGCCCUUGAAUUGGUCAAAAUUUGCCAUUUUUGCUUUGUCCACUGUCCAAUUUGAACAGUUAUCAUCUGAUCUUCACCAAACUUGCUGAAAAUAUUUGUUGGUAAAAUAAAUCGGUCAAGUAUGAUAAUCAGCCAAAUGCCCCGAAGCACUUCAGGAUUACUGCCCUUGCCAUUUAAGCUUUGUCUACUCUCUAGCUUGAACAAUUCUCAUCUGACCUUCACCAAACUUGCUGAAAAUGUUUGUAGCUAUAAAAUCUUUACCAAGAAUGUUUGCCGGUAUAAAUGCUUUGCCUCAAAGGGCCAAUGUGACAGUAAGUUGUCUUAGAAUCCAAGAAAUUAUUGAUGGGCGUAUUUUGUGAGUGUCACUCUUGUUGUCAAAUCUUUAUGAAACUUGGUCAGAAUAUUUGUCUGCAUAAUAUCUUAAAAGUUUAAUAAUAUGGGUCAUCCCCGGUCAAAACCUAGGUCACAAGGUCAAAUCUUAGAAGAAAGAAUUCCACAGUCAUAAAAAUUCAUUAAUUUUAGUCAAAUCUUUUUUAAACUUGGUCUGAAUAUUUGUCUACAUGUUGUCUUAAUCAUUUGUGAAUAUAGGUCACCUCAGAUCAAAAACUAAGUCACUAGGUCAAAUCUUAGGAAAUACUUUCCUGAUGUCAUAAAAAAAAAAUUAUGCUUACCAAAGCUAUCCAUAUCAGUUAAUAACUAAAUUCAAUUGUUAUUUUAUAAACACACAUCCCAAUCAUGAAUUUCAGAUCUAACCAUAUUUUUCAAAAAUUUAAAUUUUAAUUAACUUUAAAAAUAUUUAUGUACAUGAAAUCUUAGAUGAUAAAGUGUGUCAUCUAGGGUCAAAAACUAGGUCUCUGGGACAGAUCUUAUUGGAAAAGCAAAAUUAGGUUUGUCUGUCAAUCAUAGAAAACUUGUUUUUUUUUGCAUUGCAGCAUUUCUUGCUUAAUUUUUAUUUUGUCUCUUUAUUGCAUAUUACCUUUAUCAUUAUUGUAUUCUUUUCUAAGACAAAGCGGCAUACAGUUGAGAGCACUGCCCCAUGACAGCUCUUGUAUAUCCUAAAUAAUACAAUAGUGAUAUACCCUGAUAUAGGUAGUUUUGGUACAUAAUCACAGUGUUAAUUUUAGCUUUACUGACCAAAGAUCAGAAUAUCUAAUGUGAUUGUAAUGUGUAUGUAUUAUGUGCUUCCGAGCGCCUGUAAACAAUUGCUUGUGAACACCAUACAGUCUUUAGUUAUGAUUGUAUCUCAAAAAAACAGUAUUUAGAUAUCCAAUAGCUCGGUUCCUUUCGAAAACCAGUCAGAUCUGCCCAUGCAUGCCUAGAUUAUGGGCCUUGAACGUCUGUAAACAAUUGCUUGUGAACAUGAUACAGUCUUCAGUUUUGAUUGUAUAUAGAUGAAACUUGUACAGUAUUAAGAUAUCAAUUAGUGCUUGGUUCCUUUUGAAAACCAGAUCCGCCCAUGCAUGCCUAGUUUAUGGGCCUCAAAAAAUGCUAUUUUUAUGUAAGUCUAUUUUUAGCCAAGUCUACAUGAGCGAAGUCUAUUUUUAGAAAAGUUUACAUGUAAAGUCACAAAUUCAUGUGAAAAAUUGUUUAAAUUAGGCCCCUGGGGUCAUUAUUGGCCACGCCACUGGGUUCACAGGUUUGAUAUACUUAAAUUGGGAAAUGUUUGAAAAUCUUUAUGUCUGAAACAACUAUGCAGACCCUUGUUAUUUUGAAUAGGGAUUAUUUUAGUGGUCUGCUACCAGGGUUGUUCAAAUUAUGCCCCUAGGGUCAAAACUGGCACUGCCCCCGGGGGUCACAAGUUUUUUAAGAACUAUUUUCAAAAUCUUCUUGUUUCAAACCACAAUGCUCAUAUCUUUGAUAUUUGUUGUGGAGCAUUAUACAUGUAUGUACACAGUCUAGCAAAACAGUUGAAAUUAUGUGCCCUGGGCCGGGGCCAAAGCUGGCCCCAUCCCUUUUGUCCUUUUAAAGCUACAAAAAUGAAAUUUUGACCAAUAGUACAGUUUUGUAGCAAAUUUUAUUCUCCUCAGAUGACCUUUACUUGGCACAUAUCAGAAUACUAGUAGUUCAUGCAACUAAUCUGCUUACAACACUUUUAAGCUAACCCAAACACAAAACGUAAACAAUAUCUGGAUUAAAAAUAACCACAUGAGCCAUGCCAGUAGAGCAUAGGCCCUCAUGGGCCCCUUUUUUUUUUAGAAAAAAAAGCACACUGACCAACCCUAUUUAUUUUAGAGAAGUUAGCUUAAACUAAGAACUUUUUUACCUUACUUUUAUAUUAGAUAGUGUAUUACUAAGAUUUUUGCUUAAAGCUCCAUUUAAGGUAACUGUUCAUCUCAAAUGUAAUAGCUUUGCCUUCAAACUUUUAAAAGUUCAUUGAACCAGUGGGUUCAUCAAGAUGCAUAUCUGUAAAUGUUUCUCCCUAAUAUGGGCUUUUAUGUAUGCAAACAGAACAUUGAACAAUUGCCUUUCUGUGUAAAGUAAUCCCUGUCCAGAACAAUUGUCAAAUUGCUGUGUCAGCACUUGUUUGAAUGGAUUUAUUUUAUUUUCAUAUUAUGAUUUCAAAUAAAGUAUUUAAAAAUGUU